GCCCUUAUAACUCAGUUGGUAGAGUAUCGUCUUGAUAAGGCGGAAGUCGAAGGUUCAACUCCUUCUGAGGGCA
rnacentral:tRNA from 1 species